GACGAACGCUGGCGGCGUGCUUAACACAUGCAAGUCGAACGGAAAGGCCCUGCUUUUGUUGGGUGCUCGAGUGGCGAACGGGUGAGUAACACGUGAGUAACCUGCCCUUGACUUUGUGAUAACUUCAGGAAACUGUGGCGAAUACCGGAGAGGAUCUCCUGCUGCAUGGUGUUGGUUGGAAAGUUUCGGCUGUUGGGGAUGGACUCGCGGCUUAUCAGCUUGUUUGUGGGGUAGUGGCUUACCAAGGCUUUGACGGGUAGCCGGCCUGAGAGGGUGACCGGCCACCUUGGGCCUGAGGUACGGCGCAGACUCCUACCGGAGGCAGCAGUGGGGAAUAUUGCACAAUGGGGGGAAGUCUGAUGCAGCAACGCCGCGUGCGGGAUGACGGCCUUCGGGUUGUAAACCGAUUUCGCCUGUGACGAAGCGUGAGUGACGGUAAUGGGUAAAGAAGCACCGGCUAACUACGUG
rnacentral:rRNA from 1 species